GCGCCGGUGGUGUAAGGCGAACAUCGCUGCCCGGAAAGCAGAAGAUGCGGGUUCGAGUCCCGCCUGGUGCC
rnacentral:tRNA from 1 species